rnacentral:lncRNA from 1 species
GAAGUCUGCACUUAAAUUUUGAAAAUUAAUACAGAAUUACUAAUGUUAAAAAGGAAAAUUAUCCUAGUUAAAGUCAGAUACUGAAUUGCUCUAUUUUGCCUCUACCAGGUUGUAAAAGACAUGCAGGAAACGAAAUGCAAACAUAUGAAGAUAAUCAGACAACUGGAAAAUAUAAAAAAAGAAAACCAGGAGCAGACUACAAACACUGUAAAACUAUAUGGUGAUAAAAUGAGGAGUCUGAAAUCUCAAUUAGAAGCUUACCGAGAACUGAUGAACAAGAAUAGCAAAUACUGGCAAAAUAUCGCUAAGAGCCUGAGGGAAAGUAACAAUCAACUAAGCCAAGAGAAGGAAGAUCUUCUUCACCAAAUGAAACAACAAACAGAGAAAUGGGAAGAAAAAAAGGAAAUCCAAGUACCUUGUGGGCCACUAGGAGCCAGUGAAGAAGACACACAGGUCUGGAUUCUUGAAAAUCUGUCUAAAAAAAUCAGUCAUCUUUACACCCAGCAUACAUUGACUUUGCAGGAAUUUCACAGCAUCGGUCUAUAUGUGGGAAGAGUGUCAGACCUCGUGAAUUUCCAGAUCAAAAUUCUUCAGCAAAAAUCUGAAAAGGCCGAAGUAGAAAAAGCUGAUGUGCCCAUUUUAAAAUCAUUGGCAGAACAAGUAGCUAAUGAAGAGAAGUCUGACAGCUCAGUGGAAAUGGGGCCUCUUUGCCAAGCACAGACCAUGCUGCACAAGAUACAGAAGUCAUUACAGAAACAAGAAAGAGAAGUUUCUGAGCUCCUAGAAAGUGAAAGAAGAUAUAACAAAGCAACAAAUCCUCAAAUUACAGUCCUCGUAUUCUUGAAAAAUCUUGCUGAGAAGGUUCACACCAUAUACUGUGAUGUCCCUGAGGCACAACAGUACAUCGAUCAGCUUGUCAGGAAGAACGAGGUUGAAAGGGCUGAUUGGAAAGAAGCCUUUAAUAAUGCACAGGCUGACAUUUUGUCCAAUGAAGUAUUUUACGGAAGUGAACCUAUGGAUGGCAAAAGUGACAGGACACAGCUCUCAACGAAGCUUUUCAGAAAUCUUGGGAGAGCAAAGUCUGAAUUAGAAUCUGUUGAAACAGAGAAGAUAGUUUUUGAUUGUAUCCAGACAGGUGAAAUCCCCAGCUGGAUUAAAAGGGAUUGUCUGUAUGUAGCUUUGACAGAAGACCAUAAGGAUGCAUGCUCUGAGGAGACAAGUCACCAUCUAGAGGAAAUCAUGCAAAAGUUUGAAAUGGAAAUGAAGGUGGUCAAGAAAACAAUGGAACAGUAAAAAACAUACCAACAAUGGAACAAGUUUCCCUUUUUAAAGGGCAACACUGGAUAGGCAUCUUGGAUAAUAGAAGCACUUUCUGCAGCAGCUCUGUGAUAGCAAAUGAAUUGGAAGAACUUCAAGCCCAUGAUUCACAAGUAACUUUUGUAGGAGUUUAAGUCUUUAGAAACUUCUACUCACUUUUAGAAAUGUUUCGAAGACAUCUUAAAAAACAAAACAACAAAACACACACUCACACACAUGCACAAAGCCCCCCACUAUUAUAUACUGAAAGAGUCUGACUGAACAAAAGAGCCUAGAUGUUUUAUUUAAACAGAUACAGAUCUGUUUGUAAGUGGAUAGGAUUCAUCUCACUAAACUUUCAAUGUCUAAAAUUGUGCAUCUAACACGUCUCUAUAAGAAUUCAGAGAUGGCUCCAAACUGUAUUUUUCCCCAGAGCAUGAACAGCUCUGUUCCAUGGAGAGAAGGCUUGAGGUGAACUGCUGUUUGGGAGUUAAAAUAUUAAUAAUAAGCUUGAUCUGUCCAGAUGAAUGUGAGAAAACAACAAAACUUCUUUUUUUUUUUUUUAUGGUUUUGGUGUUGGGCUUUUUUUUUUUUUUUUUUUUUUUUUUGUCCAAUAAAAAGGUGUGCUCUUAGCUUCA